UACGUAGGGUGCGAGCGUUAAUCGGAAUUACUGGGCGUAAAGCGUGCGCAGGCGGCGCGUUAAGACAGGUGUGAAAGCCCCGAGCUUAACUUGGGAAUUGCGCUUGUGACUGGCGUGCUGGAGUGUGGCAGAGGGAGGUGGAAUUUCACGUGUAGCAGUGAAAUGCGUAGAGAUGUGGAGGAACACCGAUGGCGAAGGCAGCCUCCUGGGCCAGCACUGACGCUGAGGAGCGAAAGCAUGGGGAGCGAACAGG
rnacentral:rRNA from 1 species